CAGAGACACUGACCAACUGGGAACAGAGCCAACUUUUCUCCCCAAAGCAGCUACGACAAUACAUCAAGCAUGGCGUACCUGAUGACAUGAGAGGACAGGUGUGGAAGAAGCUGAUUGGUAACCAAGCUAUGAAGGUCAUGUCAUCCUUCAAUUACCGGGACAAAUUAGCCCAGAUUCGUCAACUUCUUGUUGACUUAGGAGUCAGUGAAUACGGAGGAGUAAACUGCCUUUCAAGACUAGGACACAUCAUUGG